GAGUUGUACAACAUGAAAGCCCAAGAGGACAUGGUCAUCUACUCCAUGCUGCUGAACAUCUCUGCAAGAAGCAGUGGGACAUAUGCGUGUGGGUACCAGCAGAGGAACGAGAGCAAUUGGCUAAGGAGCUCUCCCCUCAGCACUCCCUUGGACCUACAUGUCACAGGUCAUGUGUCCAAUUCCACGGCAGGAACCAUAACUGCAGACACCAACACUCCUCUGAACCUCACAGUCAUUCAUGUGGUAUCAGUUACUGUCACCCUCCUGCUGUCUGCAGCCACCUUCUGGACCAUUAGGAAAGGUGAGGACUUGAGGGGACUGUGGGGGAUCCAUGAGGCUGCCACAGCUUUGAUGUGAGACUGUUUUUCUUACAGGUGCCUGCCGGGAGAGAUGCCGAAGGUGAGAAGGAAGGCUGGGAGGGGACGAUUGAGAGCAUUUGGGAACUUGGGGAACUCCUUUUGCAGGGCAGCAUUAUCUGUGAGUUCCCCCAUAACAGGAAGGGACUGCCAUGGUGUUGGAGAAGGAAGGAUUUCCUCAUGGUAACAUUACUGAUAGCACGUGGAUGCCUGGUGGAUGAGGGAUUGCCGUGGGGUUGGACUGAAAGCAGUGCCUGAUGCAAGGAGGCUUCAUCCAAAUGAAUAACAGUCCUGGCCCCCUGCAGCAAACAUCCACCCCAAAUACAUUUUCCUUUCAUCCACAGGCAGCA
ensembl:lncRNA